rnacentral:lncRNA from 1 species
AAGGCAUACAAUAUGAAAAAUUUUAUUAAGUGGCUGGAGAAUCAUAUAUUUUGCGACAAAAAUAUGUCAAACUUUAUUAUGAGUAACAUCAAUAACACCAUGAAAACUGCUUUUUUUACAAACCAUGCUAAAAUUGUAUCUACAUGGCAUAAAAGUGGACAUAUUUAGUUGCAACAAGACUAUUAACUAUUAGGUAUAUAAAACCCACAAGCUGGCAAAAAAUCAUAGAUGAAAAAAAUGCAGGCCUUGUGCAUCGUCCAAGUAGGAUAUGACAAAGAUCAAGUAUAUAUCCAGCCAAGGCACAAACCCCUCCAUUGCCGGCUCAACCGGGACAAUCAUAUCUCUGAUGACAUCAGUGAACAAUAAUACUCACCAUCUCUUCCAUGGGAGAUUGCUCUGCAAAUUUAUCAAAACCAGGAGUAAUUAUAGUGAAGUUUAAUAAUAAAAAUAAAUAGGCAAUUAAAUAGCAUAAAUAUUAUUGAAGUAGAAUGAAACUUUCAAGUUGGAAUAAAGAUGUGUGAUUCACCAGGAGCUCCCUUCAGUCCAAUUAGUGGGCAAAGUACACGGAAGGAGUUGCUCCCACAUCAUGCAUCUGGCUAAACUUAACUUUCGACUUGUUAGUGUUUCAAUUCUCACAUAUCUAUGAGACACGAAAAUACUAAGCAUAACCAAAUGCAUGAGAUGACAGCUCUGUCCGCUCCUCGGCCCUCGAUAUUGGUCUGAAACGGAGCUCCUUAACUCCCCACGUAUACAUACUCUCUUUCUCUCCUCUCUCAAACACAGAGAGGAGCAAAAGAAAUGACAAUGGCUUGCUUUG